CGGGACGAGAUAAACUCUUUGCAAGGCUUGAGGCACUACGUGCAGCGCAUGGAUACUCUCUACGACUGGCAGCUCACAACCACGUCGGCACAUCACCGCUCUCAGAUCCACUGCGAUUUACCACUCUAGAAGAGGCACCAGGAGGCGCACCACAAAACGUUCGCGUGAGGACAGUUGACUCUGGAGAACUAAAUGUAUCGUGGAAUGUUCCAGAACGCGACAGCUGGAACGGCGAGCUUUUAGGCUAUGUUGUGUCAUGGCGCGAAGCUGAAGGCAGC